rnacentral:rRNA from 1 species
UCAGUAACACGUAGUCAACAUGCCCAGGGGACGUGGAUAACCUCGGGAAACUGAGGAUAAACCGCGAUAAGUCACUACUUCUGGAAUGGGUAAUGACUCAAAUCUAUAUGGCCCCUGGAUUGGACUGCGGCCGAUCAGGCUGUUGGUGAGGUAAUGGCCCACCAAACCUGUAACCGGUACGGGCUCUGAGAGGAAGAGCCCGGAGAUGGGCACUGAGACAAGGGCCCAGGCCCUAUGGGGCGCAGCAGGCGCGAAACCUCUGCAAUAGGCGAAAGCUUGACAGGGUUACUCUGAGUGAUUUCCGUUAAGGAGAUCUUUUGGCACCUCUAAAAAUGGUGCAGAAUAAGGG